GAUGAACGCUGGCGGCGUGCCUAAUACAUGCAAGUCGAGCGAACGGACGAGAAGCUUGCUCCCCUGAUGUUAGCGGCGGACGGGUGAGUAACACGUGGAUAACCUACCUAUAAGACUGGGAUAACUUCGGGAAACCGGAGCUACUACCGGAUAAUAUUUUGAACCGCAUGGUUCAAAAGUGAAAGACGGUCUUGCUGUCACUUAUAGAUGGAUCCGCGCUGCAUUAGCUAGUUGGUAAGGUAACGGCUUACCAAGGCAACGAUGCGUAGCCGACCUGAGAGGGUGAUCGGCCACACUGGAACUGAGACACGGUCCAGACUCCUACGGGAGGCAGCAGUAGGGAAUCUUCCGCAAUGGGCGAAAGCCUGACGGAGCAACGCCGCGUGGGUGAUGAAGGUCUUCGGAUCGUAAAACUCUGUUAUUAGGGAAGAACAUAUGUGUAAGUAACUGUGCACAUCUUGACGGUACCUAAUCAGAAAGCCACGGCUAACUACGUG
rnacentral:rRNA from 1 species